rnacentral:precursor_RNA from 1 species
AAGACGUGACCGGUGGAGUUCAAUCAUGUCGGGUGUGAGGCAGUUACUCACCGAUGACAAUGGAUGAGGUCGCUCAAACGUAUC